CAAUAGAAAGAACAAUGACAGCAGCAAUAACAGAGAUAAUAGCAGUGACAAUGAGUUUACUUGAAACAGGGUUAGAUUUGGAGGUAUUUGGAAGGAUAAUAGAAGAAACAUUUGCAGGAACAAAAUCAGCAGGUGAAUCAGGGGGAGGUGGAGGAGAAGGGUAAGUAGGGAAAAAUGGGUUAUUAUCACUGUUAUCAGGAGGCGUAGUAGAGCCUUGAAAUGGGUACUCUGUAGGGGCUGGAGGAGAAGGUAUAGGUG
rnacentral:misc_RNA from 1 species